rnacentral:rRNA from 1 species
UACGGAGGGUGCAAGCGUUGUCCGGAAUUACUGGGCGUAAAGGGCGCGCAGGCGGCCGAUCAAGUCAGAUGUGAAAGCCCCGGGCUCAACCUGGGAAUAGCAUUUGGGACUGGUCGGCUAGAGUUCGGGAGAGGAGAGUGGAAUUCCCAGUGUAGAGGUGAAAUUCGUAGAUAUUGGGAAGAACACCGGUGGCGAAGGCGGCUCUCUGGACCGACACUGACGCUGAGGCGCGAAAGCGUGGGGAGCAAACAGG